rnacentral:rRNA from 1 species
AACGAACGCUGGCGGCAGGCUUAACACAUGCAAGUCGAGCGAGGGCUUCGGCCCUAGCGGCGGACGGGUGAGUAACGCGUGGGAACGUGCCCGGAGGUACGGAAUAGUCCUGGGAAACCGGGUUUAAUGCCGUAUGAGCCCUGUUCAGAUUAGAGAUGACAGAGGACAGAUGACAGGAGCUUGGCGCUUCUGGUCUGCGAACGGUUAUCUGUCAUCUGUAGUCUGAACAGGGGAAAGAUUUAUCGCCUUCGGAUCGGCCCGCGUCGGAUUAGGUAGUUGGUGGGGUAACAGCCUACCAAGCCGACGAUCCGUAGCUGGUUUGAGAGGAUGAUCAGCCACACUGGGACUGAGACACGGCCCAGACUCCUACGGGAGGCAGCAGUGGGGAAUCUUGGACAAUGGGGGCAACCCUGAUCCAGCCAUGCCGCGUGAGCGAUGAAGGCCUUAGGGUUGUAAAGCUCUUUCAGCGGGGAAGAUAAUGACGGUACCCGCAGAAGAAGCCCCGGCUAACUCCGUGCCAGCCGCCGCCGUAACAC